rnacentral:rRNA from 1 species
UACGGGGGGGGGCAAGCGUUGUUCGGAAUUACUGGGCGUAAAGGGCUCGUAGGCGGCCAACUAAGUCAGACGUGAAAUCCCCCAGGCUCAACCUGGGAACUGCGUCUGAUACUGGAUGGCUUGAAUCCGGGAGAGGGAUGCAGAAUUCCAGGUGUAGCGGUGAAAUGCGUAGAUAUCAGGAGGAACACCGGUGGCGAAGGCGGAUCUCUGGGCCUGUCCUGACGCUCAGGUGCGAAAGCCAGGGGAGCGAACGGGG